rnacentral:rRNA from 1 species
CCUACGGGGGGCAGCAGUGGGGAAUAUUGCACAAUGGGCGCAAGCCUGAUGCAGCCAUGCCGCGUGUAUGAAGAAGGCCUUCGGGUUGUAAAGUACUUUCAGCGGGGAGGAAGGUGUUGUGGUUAAUAACCACAGCAAUUGACGUUACCCGCAGAAGAAGCACCGGCUAGCACCGUGCCAGCAGCCGCGGUAAUACGGAGGGUGCAAGCGUUAAUCGGAAUUACUGGGCGUAAAGCGCACGCAGGCGGUCUGUCAAGUCGGAUGUGAAAUCCCCGGGCUUAACCUGGGAACUGCAUUCGAAACUGGCAGGCUAGAGUCUUGUAGAGGGGGGUAGAAUUCCAGGUGUAGCGGUGAAAUGCGUAGAGAUCUGGAGGAAUACCGGUAGCGAAGGCGGCCCCCUGGACAAAGACUGACGCUCAGGUGCGAAAGCGUGGGGAGCAAACAGGAUUAGAUACCCCCGUAGUC